AGAGUUUGAUCCUGGCUCAGGAUGAACGCUAGCGGCAGGCUCAAUACAUGCAAGUCGAGGGGUAACAUGGGUAGCAAUACCUGAUGACGACCGGCAAACGGGUGCGGAACACGUACGCAACCUCCCCAUAACUGGUGAAUAGCCUUCCGAAAGGGAGAUUAAUACACCGUAACAUAACGAAGCGGCAUCGCUUUGUUAUUAUAGGCUUCGGCCGGUUUUGGAUGGGCGUGCGCCUGAUUAGGUAGUUGGCGGGGUAACGGCCCACCAAGCCUGCGAUCAGUAACUGGUGUGAGAGCACGACCAGUCACACGGGCACUGAGACACGGGCCCGACUCCUACGGGAGGCAGCAGUAAGGAAUAUUGGUCAAUGGACGAAAGUCUGAACCAGCCAUGCCGCGUGAAGGAUGAAGGCCCUCUGGGUUGUAAACUUCUUUUAUCUGGGACGAAAAAAGCUCAUUCUUGAGCACUUGACGGUACCAGAGGAAUAAGCACCGGCUAACUCCGUGCCAGCAGCCGCGGUAAUACGGAGGGUGCAAGCGUUAUCCGG
rnacentral:rRNA from 1 species